UACGAAGGGGGCUAGCGUUGUUCGGAAUUACUGGGCGUAAAGCGCGUGUAGGCGGUUGUUCAAGUCAGGUGUGAAAGCCUUGAGCUCAACUCAAGAAAUGCACUUGAUACUGGAUGACUAGAGGACCGGAGAGGAUAGUGGAAUUCCCAGUGUAGUGGUGAAAUACGUAGAGAUUGGGAAGAACACCAGUGGCGAAGGCGGCUAUCUGGACGGUUUCUGACGCUAAGACGCGAAAGCGUGGGGAGCAAACAGG
rnacentral:rRNA from 1 species